rnacentral:lncRNA from 1 species
GUCAAACUGUCCUUUCUCUUUGCAAACCUCAAGAUAGGACGUAAUGUGCCAAGCAAGUUCUUCCAAAAAUCUUGCAGAGAACAAGCUGGCAACUUUUCCAGUAAUUUGUGGUUGUGAAAGAUGAAUAGUAGACAUUUCAGGAAAGGGAAGUGUCCUGGGGCAAUGCGUUAUAUAGAUAUUCACUUCUGGACUGGAAAUCUCAUUCUUGAGAUUUCACUGACCAGCAACACUCCAGUGAAACUGCAGUCAAAAUUUAUGGAGUCUGCAGUAAAUAUGAAGCUAAAGUAACAGGCAAUGAAGAGCUCACCUGCUGCCUCCAGGGCUGCUUAACAUGCUGCAACCAGGCUGAAUGGUGCAUAUUGGACUGGAACCUGGAUCCUUGAGUAAAUGAAAGGAGAAAAGCCCCUAUCCAGUAUAUCAGAUUUGUGUAAACCAAAAAAUAAACUUUCAAUAUGGUAAGUCUCCGAGAUUUAAUUGUUAUCUAAAUUAAUAUAUCACCAGUAAACCACAUUGUGGUCCAGCCUUUUCAGUUUUGUAAACACAAACUCAGUUCUGCCAACUCAACUGUGUUCUAGUUUAUUUUCACACCUUCUCUUUGGAAAUAAUAAAAUGAAUUAAUAUUCUACCUA